UCUUCGUUUCCACACAAGCGGCGAGCGCAGGGACUGGCGGCUGGCCCUAGACGGCUAGACCCAUGGCCGGCGGCCAACGGGAUGCAAGGCGCACUAGGAAGUCUACUCGUCCGGUCGUCCCUCAACCCCCUCCUUCCUCUCAUUCGGCUUCGUUCGAUAUGAGGAGGUCGAGCAAGCAUUGAAAAUGUGAAAUGUGAAUGGUGUGCAACCGGAAGUAGAAGUGGAGGCACAACCACCUUAAAUGAACAAGUGAGAGAAGCUAUUGACCGCGGUGGAAGAAAUUGCACAAUCACAUUUGGUGACAUAUGGUAUGGAUAGUUUAAUUUGUUGGCAACAUGGUGAGUUUGCCUCUAUGCAAGAUUGGUUAUGUAUCUUUUGUUGUCAUGUCUCAACUUUAUUUGGUUUGAUAUAUUAGCUCACUUUAAAAAUUAAUUUUGACAAUUAUGGCUAUGUUUUCACUUCAUUAUUAAUGGAGAUUUGUGAUUCGA